ACGGGUGAGUAACACGUAUCCAACCUGCCGUCUACUCUUGGCCAGCCUUCUGAAAGGAAGAUUAAUCCAGGAUGGCAUCAUGAGUUCACAUGUCCGCAUGAUUAAAGGUAUUUUCCGGUAGACGAUGGGGAUGCGUUCCAUUAGAUAGUAGGCGGGGUAACGGCCCACCUAGUCAACGAUGGAUAGGGGUUCUGAGAGGAAGGUCCCCCACACUGGUACUGAGACACGGACCAG
rnacentral:rRNA from 1 species